CACGUAGGGUGCGAGCGUUGUCCGGAAUUAUUGGGCGUAAAGAGCUCGUAGGCGGUGUGUCGCGUCGGCCGUGAAAACCUGCAGCUUAACUGUGGGCUUGCGGUCGAUACGGGCAUCACUGGAGUUCGGCAGGGGAGACUGGAAUUCCUGGUGUAGCGGUGAAAUGCGCAGAUAUCAGGAGGAACACCGAUGGCGAAGGCAGGUCUCUGGGCAUUAACUGACGC
rnacentral:rRNA from 1 species